rnacentral:rRNA from 1 species
GCUGGCGGCGUGCCUAAUACAUGCAAGUCGAGCGGACAGAUGGGAGCUUGCUCCAUGAUGUUAGCGGCGGACGGAUGAGUAACACGUGGGUAACCUGCCUGUAAUACUGGGAUAACUCCGGGAAACCGGGGCUAAUACCGGAUGAUUGUUUGAACCGCAUGGUUCAGACAUAAAAGGUGGCUUCGGCUACCACUUACAGAUGGACCCGCGGCGCAUUAGCUAGUUGGUGAGGUAACGGCUCUCCAAGGCGACGAUGUGUAGCCGACCUGAGAGGGUGAUCUGCCACACUGGGAGUGAGACACGGCCCAGACUCUUACGGGAGGCAGCAGUAGGGAAUCUUCCGCAAUGGAGGAAAGUCCGACGGAGCAACGCCGCGUGAGUGAUGAAGGUUUUCGGAUCGUAAAGCUCUGUUGUUAGGGAAGAACAAGUGCCGUUCAAAUAGGGCGGCACCUUGACGGUACCUAACCAGAAAGCCACGGCUAAAUACGUGCCAGCAGCCGCGGUAAUACGUAGGUGGCAAGCGUUGUCUGGAAUUAUUGGGCGUAAAGGGCUCGCAGGCGGUUUAUUAAGUUUGAUGUGAAAGCCCCCGGCUCAACCGGGGAGGGUCAUUGGAAACUGGGGAACUUGAGUGCAGAAGAGGAGAGUGGAAUUCCACGUGUAGCGGUGAAAUGCGUAGAGAUGUGGAGGAACACCAGUGGCGAAGGCGACUCUCUGGUCUGUAACUGACGCUGAGGAGCGAAAGCGUGGGGAGCGAACAGGAUUAGAUACCCUGGUAGUCCACGCCGUAAACGAUGAGUGCUAAGUGUUAGGGGGUUUCCGCCCCUUAGUGCUGCAGCUAACGC